UACGUAGGGGGCUAGCGUUGUCCGGAAUCAUUGGGCGUAAAGAGCGCGUAGGCGGCCCGGUAAGUCCGCUGUGAAAGUCGGGGGCUCAACCCUCGAAUGCCGGUGGAUACUGUCGGGCUAGAGUGCGGAAGAGGCGAGUGGAAUUCCUGGUGUAGCGGUGAAAUGCGCAGAUAUCAGGAGGAACACCGGUGGCGAAGGCGGAUCUCUGGGCCAUUACUGACGCUGAGGAGCGAAAGCGUGGGGAGCGAACAGG
rnacentral:rRNA from 1 species